rnacentral:lncRNA from 1 species
AAGAACUCUCAUUCUUUUACUCCUAAAACUUUACCUACAAAAGCCAAUCCUUCAAGUUCACCACGAAAUGCCAUAAGCCAAGCUACAAAUUACCCACAAAAUCGAGAACAAGGUAGACCCCUUCCCCCGCUAGUUGAUCAAGUCCAAUAAGAAGGAAUUGUAAGUCAAUUUUCUCCCAUCCAAGAUCCACAACUGAAGCUCCACAUUACCAAAACAGUCUACUUUACCAAAUCAAUCCUCUCAAUCGAAACUCCACUUUACCAAAGCCUACACAUCCAAGAAGAGAAAUAUGGUAGAGAGGGACAUGAAGGAUAUGAAGUCUAUGACAAUGCUUAUAUGAUGAAGGGAGACUUGAUUCGAAUAAGAUUGAAGCCAAAACUCAAGAUAGAGAGGAAGCCGAGGUUCAAAAUAAAGAUAUUAGCCUCGAAUUGUGUUUGUGUUGCUCUCAGGUCCAUCUCAUUAGUGGACUAUUUUUGGAGUCAUUUUUUUAUACGUGCUAAGUUUUAUUGAACUCUAGGGUUCUUCAUGUUUUACAGACUAUUUUGAGUGAUCGCUUAUGAAGUGGCCAAUUAAAUGAGGUGAAACCAUGAAUUUGUGGGAAAAUUCCUCUCAAGAUGGAGAAAAUAAUACGAGUGUGAUCAUGUAGAUGGACUCAUGUGGGUAUGUAUUGAAGUUGUCCAAGAGUAUGUGCAAGAGAAGUGUAAUUAAGGGUCCAAAUACAUACCAAAACAGCCCGCUACAUACACUAGAG